GGUAAGCAGCUUCCAGCGUUAGCGGUAGCUGGGGCAGGAUGCGCGCCAGUGCGCGCGCUGUGUGGGAGGCGAAGGGGCGGGGAGGGACGGGCUAGCGAAGAGGCGUCCAGAGCAAGGGAGCUCUGCCUGCAGCGGCGCAGAGCGCGCCGAGUCGCUGGGAGGGAAGUUGUGGGUGGGGAGAAACACGCCGAGAGCGGGAUGGACUCCCGAGGCAAAGCGACGGGUUAGGAGGAGCAGACUGGGGAGCAGUGUGAGCGUAGAGGGGGAAAAGCACGCAGGCUCUUGAAUGUGUAUCGGAAGGGCCUGGGCGAGCUUUAGGACCCGGUGUUGACUGUGGGGCUGCUGGGGCACGCGCUUGCCUGGGUGGCGACGCGCCGGUGGCCGGGACUAAGCACGCUGGGGAGAGGCAACUCGGCUAUUUGGGGCCUCGGCUUGCCUGUCCCUGCACGCUUCCCUGCGCCCGCUCUCGCCUGCUGUCCCGGAAUCGGCCCGCGGCCGCGAGGCGCCCAGCCUCUCCGGCGAGCCCUCUGCUCCCUCUCGGCGCCGCCGCCCACCCUCUCGCACCCCUGCGCGCCUGGCCGGGUGGUGGAGGCCGCAGCGGGGCCCUGCCGCUGAUUGGCUGUUGCGGUCGCGGGGCGGGGCCAGUGAGAGACGUUGGACCUCGGCGGUUCUCGCCGUCUUUCCCGCCAUGUCUUUUGUGGAGAGCGGGAGGCGUUCUGCGCCGCGCCGCCGCCGCCUCGGCACGCCGGUGCCCUUCGCGGCGCCGCAGUACUCCGCCUUCUCUCAGGGGGACAGCUGGGGUGUGGGCGAAGUCGACGACGAGGAGGGAUGCACCCAAGUGGCCCGCGACUUGCGGGCAGAGUUCUCGGCUGGGCCGUCGUCGGAGUCCAGGAGAGGUUCUCUGUUCCCGCCAGAUGGAGAUGGGUCGCCGGUGCUGCCGGAGAAGCGCAACGGCAUCUUCCCGGCUGCUGCGGGAAGCCGAACCUCGGCUCGGCAGUGGCCGGUUCAGGUCCUUUCUAUUCUGUGUGCGCUGCUGUUCGCCAUCCUCCUCGCCUUUCUGCUCGCCAUCGUCUACCUGGUCGUAAAAGAGUUGCAUGCUGAGAAUUUGAAAAAUGAAGAUGGCAUAGACACUGGGCUGUUAGGAUUCUGGACUCUGCUUAUAAUAUCCCUAACUGCUGGAUUCUCCUGUUGCAGCUUUUCUUGGACAGUGACUUAUUUUGAUUCUUUUGAACCAGGAAUGUUUCCUCCUACUCCUCUUUCACCUGCCAGGUUCAAGAAUCUGGUUACUUGAUCCGUAAUCACUGCCUCCCAGGGUCUGCAUGGUCAGGAGCUAGAGUCAGGAGCUGGAGUGGAAACUGACUGGACACUCCUUCCACAUGGGCUAUAGCAUGGCAAUUUUGAAUGGCAUUGUGGCUGCUCUUACUGUAGCAUGGUGCCUCAUGUAAAUCCACACUGGAGCAAUACUGUUGGCAAAAUACAGUCUAAAUUGUUUUGUAAUAACAGGAAAGAACAUCAUUGCCUACUCAGAAGACUGAGAAACCUAAUGUUCAUUAUAUGGUUCACCUGUGUGUCGUCAUCGCCAUCAUUAUGGAAGAACUUUUCAAGCAUCAUUCUAGAGGCUAGACCUUGGGAGUAUCUGAAUAUUAAGUUUCAAGUACUUUCUUAAAAGUAUAAGGUGUUUACCUCAUCUUUUUACUUUUGUACGUGUAGUUCUUUUAAAUUGUAGAAAACAUUUUAAUGGAAAUCAAAUUUGAAAACUUGAAUACCAGUUAAUGCCUAAUUUCCCUUGUAUAUAGUACAUUUUUGCUAAGAAAUACUGAUUUUACUGUGUAAUUAAGAAAGAAUUAUUUCUUAUUUAUACAUUAGGAGAGUAAGCAAUACAUAUUACACCAGCAUUUUAUAGAACUUACUUUUAAGUAAGAAUAUUUAGAUUUUGAUACUCAUAUAAUCAAAGAAGGUGCAUGUGUAUUUUUAUGGGAGGUAGUUCCUUGUGUCUUUUUUUUAACAUAUUUUCUUUCCUACCACAUGUUAAGUUUUUAUGUUUUUAAAUUAUUACAUUUAGACAAUUGUAAACAUUAUUUCCUAACUGGUAUAACCUAAUACUCACCCUUUUUUACUAUUUUGCAUUUUAAAAAACAGAAAAAAACAAUUUUUUAAAAUUAAGUAAAAUUUUUUAAGUGACUGAAAAAAGAUACAUUGUAUCAAUAAAAUACUGAGAAAUUUGAGACUGCUCACUAUUUCUAUUCUCACAAUUCUAAAUAUUUAUAUUGAUAUAUAUAUGGUUAUUUCCAAAAUACUGAUAUUUCAUUUUCAAUAAACAGGAACCCAAAAUUUUAAAUGUAGAAAUGCUUGAGCUGUGUUUUUAUCUCAAAAGAAUUAGUUACUAAAGUGGAAGAGGUAUUUUGAUAUUCUAUAUAUGUACAAUAAACUUUGUAUAAUACAAUGUAUAAUAUAGUUUCUAUAGUUUUUUAAUUUUUGUAUUUAAAUAUUCUAUAAUUAUGGUGUUAAGUUUUGUUUUCACAGUAAUUUAGCCUUAAUUGUUCAGUUUCCUUACUAAAUACCAUAAGCCAUUAGAAAGGCAUCUCAAUUUUUGAAAGAUGUAUACUUUAUAAAGGUACUUUGCUUGGGUAAGGAAAAAGUAACAUUAGUAAACCACUGUGUAGUGAACCUGCUUAUUGAGGCUAAAUGGAAAAUGAAUGUGUGCAGAGAAUUCCCCUGAACAUUAUCUGCUAAAUAUUGUUACUCAAUAAACAAGGUGCUUUGCUCUUCAAAAA